UACGUAGGGUGCAAGCGUUAAUCGGAAUUACUGGGUGUAAAGCGUGCGCAGGCGGUUCUAUAAGACAGAUGUGAAAUCCCCGGGCUCAACCUGGGAACUGCAUUUGUGACUGCAUGGCUGGAGUGCGGCAGAGGGGGAUGGAAUUCCGCGUGUAGCAGUGAAAUGCGUAGAUAUGCGGAGGAACACCGAUGGCGAAGGCAAUCCCCUGGGCCUGCACUGACGCUCAUGCACGAAAGCGUGGGGAGCAAACAGG
rnacentral:rRNA from 1 species